rnacentral:rRNA from 1 species
AUAGAUUUUAUUUAUUAAUUUUAUUUAUUUUAAAUUUAAUGUAUUAAAAAUAAUUUUAUAGAAAAAAGUUUUAGUAUUGUUUAAAGAAAAAAUAAAUUUAAUUAUAGUUUAAUAGUAUUGUAAAAGAAAAUUGAAAUAACUUGAAAAAUUUUUAUUUUAUAAGAAAAUUUAAUUUAUUGUACCUU